rnacentral:lncRNA from 1 species
UAGGGGUCAUUCCCUAGCUAUACUUCAUUUCUAAUAUGUAAUCAAAUUGGUAUGGGUUGCGACACCCACCAAAUUUUGGUGCCGUUGCCGGGGACCAACGGUUCGGUUUUAGGUCAUUUGUUGUGUUAGUGUGUGUUGUGUCUUGUCUUGUGUUGUGAGUGUGAUGUUCUGUUUUGUGUGUUCGAUUUUGUAUGUGUGUUAUGAGUGUUGCAUUUAGGUUGCUUUAGUUGCAUAUUUUCAUUGCAUUCUUCUUUCCCCCUUCUUUUCCAUGUCUACCUAUUUUGGUUAUGUGGAUACUGUUUCUCCUGCUUGUUACUCCGGUUAUGAUUCUCCUGUUGAUUUUUGUGUUGAGAACAGUAAGGUUCCUCCUCCAUCUCAUGAGAGUGCUCCUAGGGAGCCGUUUCCACUUGAUGAGGAGGAGGUUCGUUGUGUUUUCAACACUGGACUAAUUCAUGUGCUGCCU